rnacentral:rRNA from 1 species
AUAUAUACUGUCUUUUUUAAAAUUAUAUAGAAUUUUAUUUUUUAAUUAAAAAGUUAAAAUAAAAUUAAAGGACGAGAAGACCCUAUAGAUCUUUAUUUUUGUUAUUUAUAAAUUAAAAAGAAUUUUAAAAUUUAUAAUUUAAUAAAAAAUUUUAUUGGGGUGAUAUUAAAAUUUAAAAAACUUUUAAAAUUUAUUAACAUAAAUAUAUGAAUAAAUGAUCCAGUUUUAUUGAUUAAAAAUUUAAGUUACCUUAGGGAUAACAGCGUAAUUUUUUUUUAGAGUUCAUAUCGACAAAAAAGAUUGCGACCUCGAUGUUGGAUUAAGAGUUAUUUUUAGGUGUAGAAGUUUAAAGUUUAGGUCUGUUCGACCUUUGAAUUCUUACAUGAUCUGAGU